rnacentral:piRNA from 1 species
UUACAGGAAUUAUGUUCAUGGGAAGUGGC